GUGCCAGCAGCCGCGGUAAUACGUAGGUGGCAAGCGUUGUCCGGAAUUACUGGGCGUAAAGCGCGCGUAGACGGCUUAAUAAGUCAGAUGUGAAAGACCCGGGCUCAACUCGGGGGUUGCAUCUGAGACUGUUGAGCUUGAGUGCAGGAGAGGCAAGUGGAAUUCCCAGUGUAGCAGUGAAAUGCGUAGAGAUUGGGAGGAACACCAGUGGCGAAGGCGACUUGCUGGACUGUAACUGACGUUGAGGUGCGAAAGCUAGGGGAGCAAACGGGAUUAGAAACCCCGGUAGUCC
rnacentral:rRNA from 1 species